UGGCCAGUGAUGAUAUCCGUUUACCAAAAUACCAUCUUUCAGGAUUGAAUGGCAUUGAAUCCUUGCUGUUCUUCCGCAAUUUUGAGGCCU